AUGUAGUAAAAUCCACCCACUCUAGUGUGCAGUUCCAGGUUUUCUUUCAAAAACAGCUCCUGUGACCGCCUUACCACCACCUCAGGAAACCUGGUCUUUCUCCGACUCCCUGCUUCCCUGCUGCCGGUGGAACUCCUCGUCCCUCAACCCUUUUCUUUCUUUCUUUCUUCUUUUUUUUUGGUCUUUUUCAGACAGAUCUUACUAUGCAGUUCAGGCUGGCCUUGAACUCCCAGAGAUCCUCCUGCCUCAGCCUCCCGAGUGCUGGCAUGACAGGCUCAGCAAGGUGAAGUGACUCUCCCAGGGUCUAGGGCUGGCAUUGGCCACUGGAGCCUGGGGGAGCCAGGCUGCCCUGACUUUUGCCCUGUGAUACCCAACUCAUCCGUGAACACACAGAUGCCUUGGCCUACAGCCGCUGUGGACAAUCCAAGCUCGCCUGUGGCUGUCAGAGAUACCUGGGAUCCGGAAGUUGAGCUGCAAUAAGAGGCUGCUGGAUAGAUCCGGGGAAGAACUUUUGUUUUCAAAUGGUAGCAAAAAUAGGGAUGACAGCUACAGACUUAGAUAAAUAAAUUGUAUUUUCUACA